ACUGCUAGGAUACACCUGGCCUCUUAUUUAUUUAUAUUUUUCUAGUUCUCAUCCACCUAUUUCUGUGGGUGCUUCGGCCUCCUCUGCCAUCCAAUUGGUGAUCUUUUCUGUCAACCUCUUGAUGAUGAGCUUUAAUGGGACCUUUGCCUGUGAUUCCUUCUGUUGUUUUUUGACCAAGGGUCGCUUGGUGAAUGGCUUGGAUUGUCCAACAGGGAAGCAGGAAGGCUUUGUAGCAGUAAAGCCCGGGGAACAAAAUCUUUUGCAGUGUACUGUGCUUGUUACUCCCAUGGCAAGGUCCCCAGUCUCACCGAUGAUGA
rnacentral:lncRNA from 1 species